UUAAGCGACUAAGCGUACACGGUGGAUGCCCUGGCAGUCAGAGGCGAUGAAGGACGUGCUAAUCUGCGAUAAGCGUCGGUAAGGUGAUAUGAACCGUUAUAACCGGCGAUUUCCGAAUGGGGAAACCCAGUGUGUUUCGACACACUAUCAUUAACUGAAUCCAUAGGUUAAUGAGGCGAACCGGGGGAACUGAAACAUCUAAGUACCCCGAGGAAAAGAAAUCAACCGAGAUUCCCCCAGUAGCGGCGAGCGAACGGGGAGGAGCCCAGAGCCUGAAUCAGUGUGUGUGUUAGUGGAAGCGUCUGGAAAGGCGCGCGAUACAGGGUGACAGCCCCGUACACAAAAAUGCACAUGCUGUGAGCUCGAUGAGUAGGGCGGGACACGUGGUAUCCUGUCUGAAUAUGGGGGGACCAUCCUCCAAGGCUAAAUACUCCUGACUGACCGAUAGUGAACCAGUACCGUGAGGGAAAGGCGAAAAGAACCCCGGCGAGGGGAGUGAAAAAGAACCUGAAACCGUGUACGUACAAGCAGUGGGAGCACAGAGCAAUCUGUGUGACUGCGUACCUUUUGUAUAAUGGGUCAGCGACUUAUAUUCUGUAGCAAGGUUAACCGAAUAGGGGAGCCGAAGGGAAACCGAGUCUUAACUGGGCGUUAAGUUGCAGGGUAUAGACCCGAAACCCGGUGAUCUAGCCAUGGGCAGGUUGAAGGUUGGGUAACACUAACUGGAGGACCGAACCGACUAAUGUUGAAAAAUUAGCGGAUGACUUGUGGCUGGGGGUGAAAGGCCAAUCAAACCGGGAGAUAGCUGGUUCUCCCCGAAAGCUAUUUAGGUAGCGCCUCGUGAAUUCAUCUCCGGGGGUAGAGCACUGUUUCGGCAAGGGGGUCAUCCCGACUUACCAACCCGAUGCAAACUGCGAAUACCGGAGAAUGUUAUCACGGGAGACACACGGCGGGUGCUAACGUCCGUCGUGAAGAGGGAAACAACCCAGACCGCCAGCUAAGGUCCCAAAGUCAUGGUUAAGUGGGAAACGAUGUGGGAAGGCCCAGACAGCCAGGAUGUUGGCUUAGAAGCAGCCAUCAUUUAAAGAAAGCGUAAUAGCUCACUGGUCGAGUCGGCCUGCGCGGAAGAUGUAACGGGGCUAAACCAUGCACCGAAGCUGCGGCAGCGACACUGUGUGUUGUUGGGUAGGGGAGCGUUCUGUAAGCCUGUGAAGGUGUGCUGUGAGGCAUGCUGGAGGUAUCAGAAGUGCGAAUGCUGACAUAAGUAACGAUAAAGCGGGUGAAAAGCCCGCUCGCCGGAAGACCAAGGGUUCCUGUCCAACGUUAAUCGGGGCAGGGUGAGUCGACCCCUAAGGCGAGGCCGAAAGGCGUAGUCGAUGGGAAACAGGUUAAUAUUCCUGUACUUGGUGUUACUGCGAAGGGGGGACGGAGAAGGCUAUGUUGGCCGGGCGACGGUUGUCCCGGUUUAAGCGUGUAGGCUGGUUUUCCAGGCAAAUCCGGAAAAUCAAGGCUGAGGCGUGAUGACGAGGCACUACGGUGCUGAAGCAACAAAUGCCCUGCUUCCAGGAAAAGCCUCUAAGCAUCAGGUAACAUCAAAUCGUACCCCAAACCGACACAGGUGGUCAGGUAGAGAAUACCAAGGCGCUUGAGAGAACUCGGGUGAAGGAACUAGGCAAAAUGGUGCCGUAACUUCGGGAGAAGGCACGCUGAUAUGUAGGUGAAGUCCCUCGCGGAUGGAGCUGAAAUCAGUCGAAGAUACCAGCUGGCUGCAACUGUUUAUUAAAAACACAGCACUGUGCAAACACGAAAGUGGACGUAUACGGUGUGACGCCUGCCCGGUGCCGGAAGGUUAAUUGAUGGGGUCAGCGCAAGCGAAGCUCUUGAUCGAAGCCCCGGUAAACGGCGGCCGUAACUAUAACGGUCCUAAGGUAGCGAAAUUCCUUGUCGGGUAAGUUCCGACCUGCACGAAUGGCGUAAUGAUGGCCAGGCUGUCUCCACCCGAGACUCAGUGAAAUUGAACUCGCUGUGAAGAUGCAGUGUACCCGCGGCAAGACGGAAAGACCCCGUGAACCUUUACUAUAGCUUGACACUGAACAUUGAGCCUUGAUGUGUAGGAUAGGUGGGAGGCUUUGAAGUGUGGACGCCAGUCUGCAUGGAGCCGACCUUGAAAUACCACCCUUUAAUGUUUGAUGUUCUAACGUGGACCCGUGAUCCGGGUUGCGGACAGUGUCUGGUGGGUAGUUUGACUGGGGCGGUCUCCUCCUAAAGAGUAACGGAGGAGCACGAAGGUUGGCUAAUCCUGGUCGGACAUCAGGAGGUUAGUGCAAUGGCAUAAGCCAGCUUGACUGCGAGCGUGACGGCGCGAGCAGGUGCGAAAGCAGGUCAUAGUGAUCCGGUGGUUCUGAAUGGAAGGGCCAUCGCUCAACGGAUAAAAGGUACUCCGGGGAUAACAGGCUGAUACCGCCCAAGAGUUCAUAUCGACGGCGGUGUUUGGCACCUCGAUGUCGGCUCAUCACAUCCUGGGGCUGAAGUAGGUCCCAAGGGUAUGGCUGUUCGCCAUUUAAAGUGGUACGCGAGCUGGGUUUAGAACGUCGUGAGACAGUUCGGUCCCUAUCUGCCGUGGGCGCUGGAGAACUGAGGGGGGCUGCUCCUAGUACGAGAGGACCGGAGUGGACGCAUCACUGGUGUUCGGGUUGUCAUGCCAAUGGCACUGCCCGGUAGCUAAAUGCGGAAGAGAUAAGUGCUGAAAGCAUCUAAGCACGAAACUUGCCCCGAGAUGAGUUCUCCCUGACCCUUUAAGGGUCCUGAAGGAACGUUGAAGACGACGACGUUGAUAGGCCGGGUGUGUAAGCGCAGCGAUGCGUUGAGCUAACCGGUACUAAUGAACCGUGAGGCUUAACCU
rnacentral:rRNA from 2 species